UAAUUGUUUCGUUGUAUUGUUUUGUUGCUUGUAUUUAUUGCAUUGUUGUUUGUUGAAAUGGAGAAAAUGAAAGAUGGAAGAGAAUAGAUUGCUGUAUUACAAAAUUACAUUAUUAUGCAAACACUUCGUACGACGAGAAGAAGUAUGGGAAAGAGAAGUUUUAAUGUCAAAUCACUGUCUUAUAUACACAACGUUCUGUCACAUCACUGAUUGUCUAUUGCACUCACAGUUUAUAUAAAUACUUCACACCGAUGACCGAUAAUUAAGUAUGGACCACACGAUGUGAAUCGUUAUAGAGUUGCACCGCAAUGAAAAUGUGAGACGUUCCUUAACAGUAAUA
rnacentral:misc_RNA from 1 species